rnacentral:rRNA from 1 species
GAUGAACGCUGGCGGCGUGCCUAAUACAUGCAAGUCGAGCGAACGGAUUAAGAGCUUGCUCUUAUGAAGUUAGCGGCGGACGGGUGAGUAACACGUGGGUAACCUGCCCAUAAGACUGGGAUAACUCCGGGAACCCGGGGCUAAUACCGGAUAACAUUUUGAACCGCAUGGAUCGAAAUUGAAAGGCGGCUUCGGCUGUCACUUAUGGAUGGACGCGCGUCGCAUUAGCUUGUGGGUGAGGUAACGGCUCACCAAGGCAACGUUGCGUAGCCGACCUGAGCGGGUGAUCGGCCACACUGGGACUGAGACACGGCCCAGACUCCUACGGAAGGCAGCAGUAGGGAAUCUUCCGCAAUGGACGAAAGUCUGACGGAGCAACGCCGCGUGAGUGAUGAAGGCUUUCGGGUCGUAAAACUCUGUUGUUAGGGAAGAACAAGUGCUAGUUGAAUAAGCUGGCACCUUGACGGUACCUAACCAGAAAGCCACGGCUAACUACGUGCCAGCCGCCGCGGUAA